rnacentral:lncRNA from 1 species
UUUUUUUUUAUAUAAAUUUAUCCUGCUCUCACUUCUUCUCCCUUCAUCUCUAUUUUCUUCUAUAGGCUUUGAGCAAGGAAACAAAUUAAAUUAUAAUGAGGUUUUGCGAACCACGCAUGGUGUUUUUGUAUGGGAAGAGAAAGUUGAGGAGCUUCUUUUGGAGGGUUAGAGCUGAUUUCAAGAGGGAAAUCAAGGGUUGGUCUAAUAAUAUUAACAACAACAAUUUCAACUAUGAUCCUUUUAGUUAUUCCCUCAACUUUGACGAUGGCAAUUUUGGUUUCUUUUGCUGAACAAAUAGUAUAUUGAAGCUAUGAGCUAACAAUAUGCUUUUAAUUUGAAAACUAGCUAGCUCGAGGUUAACUAGUUUUUAUUUAUUUAUAAAUUAUGUGGUUCUCGUGCUUGUGAUAUAUCAAAUCAAAUGGGGGAG